rnacentral:rRNA from 1 species
UGGGGAAUCUUCCGCAAUGGGCGAAAGCCUGACGGAGCAACGCCGCGUGAGUGAAGACGGCCUUCGGGUUGUAAAGCUCUGUUAUACGGGACGAAUAGUCUUGUGGUUAAUACCCAUGAGAAGUGACGGUACCGUAAGAGAAAGCCACGGCUAACUACGUGCCAGCAGCCGCGGUAAUACGUAGGUGGCAAGCGUUGUCCGGAAUUAUUGGGCGUAAAGCGCGCGCAGGCGGAUUGGUCAGUCUGUCUUAAAAGUUCGGGGCUUAACCCCGUGAUGGGAUGGAAACUGCCAAUCUAGAGUAUCGGAGAGGAAAGUGGAAUUCCUAGUGUAGCGGUGAAAUGCGUAGAUAUUAGGAGGAACACCAGUGGCGAAGGCGACUUUCUGGACGAAAACUGACGCUGAGGCGCGAAAGCCAGGGGAGCGAACGGGAUUAGAUACCCCGGUAGUCCUGGCCGUAAACGAUGGGUACUAGGUGUAGGAGGUAUCGACCCCCUCUGUGCCGGAGUUAACGCAAUAAGUACCCCGCCUGGGGAGUACGACCGCAAGGUUG